rnacentral:rRNA from 1 species
UACAGAGGGGGCAAGCGUUGUUCGGAAUUACUGGGCGUAAAGGGCGCGUAGGCGGCCUUCUAAGUCGCACGUGAAAUCCCUGGGCUCAACCCAGGAACUGCGUCCGAUACUGGAAGGCUUGAAUCCGGGAGAGGGAUGCGGAAUUCCAGGUGUAGCGGUGAAAUGCGUAGAUAUCUGGAGGAACACCGGUGGCGAAGGCGGCAUCCUGGACCGGCAUUGACGCUGAGGCGCGAAAGCCAGGGGAGCAAACGGG